GGUGUAGGCAUAUCCUCAUAUUUUUUAGGCCUUUACCUAUGUAUCUUUUAUGUGGGUGUAUCUUAAUUUUUUUGUAGUGAGAUCCUCUACCUGUAAGCACGAUUGUGAAAAAGGUUAAUGUAGAUCUUUUCAUCACCCAAAAAAAUAAUCACAAAGAUAAAAGAUUUGAAGAGAAGAAAUCAAAAGAAAGAGAGGAAGAGGAUUAGGAAUAACAACUUGUGCUCAAGAAGUAUUGCCAGCCUUUAGACAAUGCCUGGUGGUAGAGCGAGAAGCUCUAGGUCCUUUAGUAAGAGAGAUUGAGGGUUCAAUCAGAACUCUAGGGUUAAUCGAUGGAAUCACCAUGCCAUAGUAAGUGAUGUGCUACCAAAGUGGAGUAAUGUUUGCUCAUUCCCUUCUAGGAUAAGGUAGGAAAGGACCACCAGUGCAUCUCUCAGACUUGGGGUGGCAAUUCAUGUUCGCAUGCCGUAAUCGUGUCAACACGAUUUCAACAUGAACAUGAUUAUCGAGAACGCGAACACGACAUGAUUAGUAAAUAUGUCUAGAUUUUCUAAUACGUACACAAAUCUAUUUAUUAAAUAUGUUGCCUAUUUAACAUGAUUAUUAAAUACGUCAUGUCGGGUUAACAUGUUUACACG
rnacentral:lncRNA from 1 species